CCUACGGGAGGCAGCAGUGGGGAAUAUUGCACAAUGGGCGAAAGCCUGAUGCAGCGACGCCGCGUGAGGGAUGACGGCCUUCGGGUUGUAAACCUCUUUCAGCAGGGAAGAAGCGAAAGUGACGGUACCUGCAGAAGAAGCGCCGGCUAACUACGUGCCAGCAGCCGCGGUAAUACGUAGGGCGCAAGCGUUGUCCGGAAUUAUUGGGCGUAAAGAGCUCGUAGGCGGCUUGUCACGUCGGGUGUGAAAGCCCGGGGNUUAACCCCGGGGUCUGCAUUCGAUACGGGCUAGGCUAGAGUGUGGUAGGGGAGAUCGGAAUUCCUGGUGUAGCGGUGAAAUGCGCAGAUAUCAGGAGGAACACCGGUGGCGAAGGCGGAUCUCUGGGCCAUUACUGACGCUGAGGAGCGAAAGCGUGGGGAGCGAACAGGAUUAGGAUACCCUGGUAGUCCACGCCGUAAACGGUGGGAACUAGGUGUUGGCGAACAUUCCACGUCGUCGGUGCCGCGACGCGUACGCACUAACGUUACCCGUCCGUCGGGUAGGUACGGCCGGCCGACGGACGUAAACGUACGAACGUAGUAAGUUAGUACGUUACGUUAGUAGACGUUGCCGACGGACGACGACGAGGGAGGAGG
rnacentral:rRNA from 1 species